GAUGAACGCUAGCGGGAGGCCUAACACAUGCAAGCCGAGCGGUAUUUGUCUUUCGGGACAGAGAGAGCGGCGUACGGGUGCGGAACACGUGUGCAACCUGCCUUUAUCUGGGGGAUAGCCUUUCGAAAGGAAGAUUAAUACCCCAUAAUAUAAUGAAUGGCAUCAUUUAUUAUUGAAAACUCCGGUGGAUAGAGAUGGGCACGCGCAAGAUUAGAUAGUUGGUGAGGUAACGGCUCACCAAGUCGAUGAUCUUUAGGGGGCCUGAGAGGGUGCUCACCCGCACUGGUACUGAGACACGGACCAGACUCCUACGGAAGACAGCAGUGAGGGAGAUUGGACAAUGGGUUAGCGCCUGAUCCAGCCAUCCCGCGUGAAGGACGACGGCCCUAUGAGUUGUAAACUUCUUUUGUACAGGGAUAAACCUACUCUCGUGAGAGUAGCUGAAGGUACUGUACGAAUAAGCACCGGCUAACUCCGUGCCAGCCGCCGCGGUAA
rnacentral:rRNA from 1 species